rnacentral:rRNA from 1 species
UACGUAGGGACCAAGCGUUGUUCGGAUUUACUGGGCGUAAAGAGCGUGUAGGCGGUUUGGUAGGUCCGCUGUGAAAACUCGAGGCUCAACCUCGAGACGCCGGUGGAAACCAUCAGGCUAGAGUCCGGAAGAGGAGAGUGGAAUUCCCGGUGUAGCGGUGAAAUGCGCAGAUAUCGGGAAGAACACCCGUGGCGAAGGCGGUUCUCUGGGACGGUACUGACGCUGAGACGCGAAAGCGUGGGGAGCGAACAGG